rnacentral:lncRNA from 1 species
GAUCUUGUCAUGCCUCUCUCAAUUUCGUAAGCAUUCCUUUCAAUUUGUAAAUUCAGAGAAUUUAUUUGAAGUUUCAACUCUGGCAAAAUGCCUCCUUAGACCUUUUACAAAUCUCUUAAUCAUACCAGCAAAAAUAAUUUCAAUGUUUGUUUGUCUUUUGGUCCUACAAGUUGAUAAAAAUCAAUUCAAAAUAUCAAACAUAUAUGAAUAAUACUAUUUUAAUGUUCUCAGCAAAUGAGACAAAAAUUCAACAAAAAAUUGCAAUAGUACCUUGUUCCAUUCCGGACAACUAAAGAACCUUCCAGGGUUUUUUAGUCCAUGAAAUCUUCAUUCGAGCUCUACAUCCACAAUAGCACCUUGGAGAGUCACCUAUUGAAUCAAGAGGCUCGCCUGACUCCAGUUCAUCUUCUAUAUCAGUAAAUUGCCUUUUUAGUGAGGGAUUUUGGGUUUCAGAUGAAUGAAACCCUACCUGGCUUCCUUUCGUUAAAUCUUUUUCAGUCGAUCGAUGAUGGUAGGGCUUUUUUUAAGUAUCUGAGUAGGUUUUUUACGUUUGGGGUAGAAACGGAGAAGAGUUCAAUCAAAUACUUACUUCAUGAAAGCUUCAAACUUGAGGACAAAUGCACAGUAGAACAC